GGCCGCGGGGGCGGGGCUGCAAGCAGUAGGGGGCGAGCCUUCGCCCGGCUGAGGGGCCGGGUACUGCGUGCCCGGAAAGGUGGUCCGGGCCUCGAAGAGAGCUUUCGGAGGGAGGGCCGUCGGGCCAGCCGCUGUGUUCGGCUUCUUACUCAAUAAUAAUAAUUAACAAGUCUACACUUCCACGUUCUCUUGCUCGUGUAGUGCCAGGCACUGUUAGAGACUUUGAAUAAUAAUGCAAGUACUUAUUGUAAACAUGAUGUUUAUGGUGACUGAUACGUGCUAGGCACUAUGACAGAUCGUAAAUGAUAAUUAUAAAUAUAAUAAACUACCAAAUUAUUAUUUACUUAUUUUUUUGCCACUCUGGUGAUGCUUUCAAUAACAACAAACAACUGUCAUAAAUAAAAGCUGCUCCACAUUAAAUCUUUGCCAUGCAACCAGCACUGUCCUGGAUCCUUCGCUAAUAGACACCAUUUAUUCAUGCAACAAAGGCUACAGAAUACAAUGAUGAGAAAAAUUUACCUUAUUCCACCUUCCUGCUAGAAUCGAGUGAAGAGACAUCCUUUGAGUAAGUAACCACACAGAUACUGAGGCUGGCUUGCUAGAGCAGCAAUUCAUUCCCUCACCACAGUGAGGACGGCACUGUGCAGUCUCCUCCCGUUGUUUACUUUUCAAGAGUCAGACAGCAAUCUCAUCAUCAUUCCUUCAGGCCCUCUGCCAUGCUGCCCUGCUUUGGAGCUAGCUGACAAUGGACUGAAAUCUCUACAAACUGGAAUGAUGCUCCGUCCUUUUGGGGUUGGUCUCUCCCGCUGGCACCCUAGGCUCUCAGCAGUGACAGCUGGGUGGGGGAAGUUCAAGAUCUUCAGGACAUGCAGAGCCUCCACCACCAUUUGCAGUGUGUAGAAAAAGGACCGACUUCCUACAAGAAAUGUGUUGUUUUGUCCACUUGGUUACGAGAGUCACUACCGUAGCUGGCGCCCUGGGUGUGUUCACAUGGGACACAGACACCUUCACACUCUGUGCUGAGAAGCCCCCACACUCCCAUCUCAGACCUUCCCACCCGCCUUCAGAGUCUCGACUCUGUUCCGGAUCACCCACUGCCCAGGAAAUGUGCUCACCUCUGUUCCUGGGUGUCUCCCGGACACAGCCAAAUGUACUGCUUGGGAUUCUGACUCAGUGUGAGUUCCAUUUGUAUCGGAAUUAUGCAACCCAUCCAAUUAAAUUUUGGGUCAGAUUUUCAGCAAGUUUGAAAAUCUAUAGUUACAAGAAAUAAAUGAUUGUUUGAGGAAUCUGUAGACUCUCUGAUCUUCAGAGUUUAAAGAUUGGAGCAUGUCAUUGGUGUUCCGUAAUAGCUCCCCUGGACUCAGAAGCAGCUGUCCAGCCCACAGUUCUGCAACCCUUACCACUCCAGCAGGGCCUCUGCACCCAGCACUUCCCAGGCAGGUAAUAAAGCAGUGAUGUCAGUACAUGCCACGGGUAAUCUGGAACUAAUGGUGUAUGGCAAACUGGCUUGCUAGGGACUAGGAAAUAACUCAGAUUUUUAGUUUUUGCAGAUUACUACAGCAUAAGCAUUCCCAUCAGCUGGGCAUUGUGGUGCAUGCCUAUA